GCUCUGCAGUCAGGCCAGGACUCAGUCCACUUUCCGUUGACAAAUAAGCAACGCGGGAUCUGAAUAUGAAAAUGAAGUAGUUAACUCGGGCUACUCGGGCAUUCAGAAUCGUCGCAGGUUAAAUUUAGGUAACACAGUUGCCAUGAUAGCAAGAACCUCGGUAGCUCCAGCUUCUAGAGUGAUUCCUCGAAGAAGGGGCAAUCCAUCGGAUCCAGACGCUUCUACUCCGCGUAGCUGCAAGUGAGGAUGCUGAAGACACGGCACGGGUCUCAGUGGUAGAGCGUAAACUUCCGGGCCCAGGAUUCCAUGCACUGAAAAUUUUUCUUUCAUCUUCUGUCUUUGUUUAACCCUUGAGGUAGUUGUUUCGAGAUAGUCACGUUCAGUUAGGUUUCAAUCAGGAAUGCGGAAGAGUACCUCUAGGUUCGUGAACCCCGUAUCCAGGAUCGAUUGGCGCUAUGCUGUGCCUGCGGUUCGUUCUGACGCCGCCCUGCAGGAGAUUGGCCUCGCUGACGCUUUUGAAACGUGGAUUGUCC